rnacentral:rRNA from 1 species
CAGCGCCACGGUAAUACGUAGGGUGCAGGCGUUAAUCGGAAUUACUGGGCGUAAAGCGUGCGCAGGCGGUUCUAUAGGACAGAUGUGAAAUCCCCGGGCUCAACCUGGGAACUGCACUUGUGACUGUAGAGCUGGAGUGCGGCAGAGGGGGAUGGAAUUCCGCGUGUAGCAGUGAAAUGCGUAGAUAUGCGGAGGAACACCGAUGGCGAAGGCAAUCCCCUGGGCCUGCACUGACGCUCAUGCACGAAAGCGUGGGGAGCAAACAGGAUUAGAUACCCGAGUAGUCCCUGUCUCUUAUACA